GGUUUACAGCACUAGGUGGCCCGGCAGAUGGAAAGAAGAAUAUUGAACUGAAGUCAGAUUGUCUCUUUGAGCAUGAUAAGAAUGUUGGAGCUGUUAUCGUUGGACUUGACCAACAUAUCAACUUUUAUAAGCUACAGUAUGGAACUCUUUGCAUCCGUGAGAAUCCUGGUUGCCUUUUUAUCGCGACCAAUCGUGAUGCAGUGGGACAUUUAACUGAUCUUCAAGAGUGGCCUGGUGCGGGAUGUAUGGUUGCUGCAAUAAGCGGAACAACCCAAAAAGAGCCUAUUACAGUUGGGAAGCCAUCGACCUUUCUGAUGGACUUUCUAU
rnacentral:misc_RNA from 1 species